rnacentral:rRNA from 1 species
GCAUAUCAAUAAGCGGAGGAAAAGAAACCAACAGGGAUUGCCCUAGUAACGGCGAGUGAACAGGCAAGAGCUCAGAUUUGAAAGCCUUUUUGGCAUUGUAUUCUGAAGUCAGUUUCCUGAGUAUCGGUGUUUAAGUCUUCUGGAAAGGAGCGCCAUGGAGGGUGAUAGCCCCGUACGACACCUCACUCAUUGUAGGAUUCUGACGUGGAGUCGAGUUGUUUGGGAAUGCAGCUCAAAAGGGUGGUAUGCUCCCAUCUAAAGCUAAAUAUCUGUGAGAGACCGAUAGCGAACAAGUACUGUGAAGGAAAGAUGAAAAGAACUUUGAAAAGAGAGUGAAAAAGUACGUGAAAUUGUUGAAAUGGAAGGAUAUGCCGCUAACAAUGUAGAGCCGUGUUUGGGGGGAAGACAAAAGCUGAAGAAUGUAUCUCUUUUAGGGAAUUAUAACUUCAGUCAAUAUUCCCAUCCGGGCGCGAGGACCUCAGGCUCUACUAAAUGGUGGUCUAUCACCCGUCUUGAAACACGGACCAAGGAGUCUAUUGCCUGCGCGAGUAUUUGGGUGGCAAACCCAUAUGCGAAGUGAAAGCGAGUGGUUCCAACCUUCGGGGGCAGAAUCAGCCGACCGUUCAUAGGAACGGAUUGAGUGGAGCGCAAGUGAUGGGACCCGAAAGAUGGUGAACUAUGCCUGAAUAGGGUGAAGCCAGAGGAAACUCUGGUGGAGGCUCGCAGCGGUUCUGACGUGCAAAUCGAUCGUCAAAUUUGGGUAUAGGGGCGAAAGACUAAUCGAACCAUCUAGUAGCUGGUUCCUGCC